rnacentral:lncRNA from 1 species
GAGCCAUGAAAGGCAUCCAUCUGGUCCUGCUGGCCGUGCUGCUGUGCUCCCAGCAAGCCCUGAGCCUGCAGUGCUACAACUGCACUGAAGAAGAGGACGUCAGCAAGUGCCAGACCACCAUCUCAUGUGACUCCACACCGAGCAUCUGCUAUAAGGGCGGCAGGACCUUGACCAAGACCAGUGCCCUUCCCACAGGCCAAGCAGUGGAUUCCCCAAACCCCAAUUGUGGCCAGUGUCUGAAGUCUCCUGUGAGGAAGCCAGUCCAGGGAGGGUCUGUGCCUGGCCGAGGCCCUCCCCACAUGGACCCAGGGCCAGGUGACAUCCCAGAGCAGCCAUGGCCGUCUGCAGACCCGCGGUUUAGACCAGUGUUUUCAUCCAAGCUCAGGGCUCCUUCUGGCCCCGCACAUCCUAUUAACAGGGCACUUUGGUUUGUGGAAAUAAAAUAGCGUACUCCAAGUUUGUGAUUCUUCAAUCAUGAAUGCCGUAAAAGAAUCUUGGUCAACACCUUGGCCGCACUGGGGCAGGGGAGGCAGAGGGAGGAGGGGUGCUGGAAAGUGUCAGGUGAACAGCUUGGACAGGAUGCGUGGGAAUCUAAACCUUGAGUUCCCCGUUUGCCCAAGGGCUGGGCUGGAAACGGGCUGCCUGUGUACACACAGUCCUGGCUGGAAAGAUGAAUUUUCAGAAGGGGCAAAUAGUUUUUCUGAAAUAUCAAGAGUUUGUUUCAGUGACUGGAAGCAUUGCGGGUCUGUAAAUUCAAGACUAUGAACAUCGGGCAGACACUGGACUGUGGAGAGGGGCUCCGGGCUGUGAGGGGUAUUUCUCAGAGGAGCUGGUUCUCAUCAACCUCGUGUCUAAUCAACCACUGAUUACAAAAUUGCUCAUCUGCAUAUAAGUAAAUAAACCAGUAUAAAAACUAUGCA